UUUCGUUGUCGAGAGCCUCCUGAAGCAUAUCGGCGGUUUCUCGUGAAUUCGGUGAUCCAAAUAAGCAACGUGAGACACGAGAUGAGGCGGCAGCAGCAGCAGCAGCAGCAGCAGCGGCGGCGGCGUUCAUCGUCUUAUUACUUUGUGAAAUAGGAGAAGAAGAAGAAGAAGAAGAAGAAGAAGGAAAAGAAGAAGGAGACAAGGAAGAAAAAGAAGAAGAAAAAGAAGAACAAGGGAACAAGAGAGAUAGUGUUUUUGAAAGCACCUGUAUACUCUCAGAGUUCCUGGGAACUGAGUUCCCGCCAAUUUCUUCUUGGCGGCUGCUCGAGGCAGCCUAACGGCCGUUGGUCUGAGAUACUACCUCGAAAGUGGCAGGUGCAAGCCGGGCCAAACUUCAUUAAACACAAUCCCAUCUGCGCCCUCAUACUUCCGAGAGAAGAAGAAGAAGAAGAAGAAGGAGGAGAAGAAGAAGAAGAAGAAGAAGAAGAAGAAGAAGAAGGUCUUGUACGCUGCUUGCUUUCUCCAGACGAAGAAAAAGACAAGAAAAAAAAAGAACAGGAUAGAAAAAGAGAGAAGGAGAGACGAUAACUAUUAUCGAAGAAUUUCUUGCGUAUGAAAUAAGAUCCUCCAUGGUGUAAGGUGGUACCAUAGAAUAGUACAGCUAUCAAUACAUGCUCGUUUGACUACAUAUAUAUAUAUACACACACACCUUGCAAGGAAAAUGGAGAAAAGGUCCACUUGUUGGUAGUGGUAGUACGAAAGGCUAUUCACCUUCGAUUCAAUACCCUAUUCUUCCUAUUUCAUCGUAAGUAAGGAUCCUGUAGAACUAUUUUUCCGGAUUUUUGCUGCUAUCCGUUCAAUAGAAAAUAACUUUCAAGAUAAAUCAUAUGUAAGUAAACUUACAAUGCUCUUUAAAAUUUAAAGGUACGUCUCUUUCGUACAACCGACGUUCACAGGUAUUUUUCUUUUCUUUUCUUAUACUUUUUUUCUUUUCUCUUCUUUUUUCUCUUCUAUUUUCUUUUUUCUUUUUUCUUUUGUUUUUUGUCAAUAUUAUGGUAUUAAUUUUUUUGUAAUCAAUAUUGAAUUAUUUCCUUCCAUUGACUUUUAUUUAUU